UGCGUAGGCGGAUUGAUAAGUCAGUGGUGAAAACCUACAGCUUAACUGUAGAACUGCCAUUGAUACUGUUAGUCUUGAGUACGGUCAAGGUAGGCGGAAUGUGUAAUGUAGCGGUGAAAUGCUUAGAUAUUACACAGAACACCGAUUGCGAAGGCAGCUUACUGGACCAUUCCUGACGCUGAGGCACGAAAGCGUGGGGAGUGAACAGGAUUAGAUACCCUGGUAGUCC
rnacentral:rRNA from 1 species